rnacentral:rRNA from 1 species
GAUGAACGCUGGCGGCGUGCCUAAUACAUGCAAGUCGAGCGAACAGGCGAGGAGCUUGCUCCUCUGACGUUAGCGGCGGACGGGUGAGUAACACGUGGAUAACCUACCUAUAAGACUGGGAUAACUUCGGGAAACCGGAGCUAAUACCGGAUAAUAUAUUGAACCGCAUGGUUCAAUAGUGAAAGACGGUUUUGCUGUCACUUAUAGAUGGAUCCGCGCCGCAUUAGCUAGUUGGUAAGGUAACGGCUUACCAAGGCAACGAUGCGUAGCCGACCUGAGAGGGUGAUCGGCCACACUGGAACUGAGACACGGUCCAGACUCCUACGGGAGGCAGCAGUAGGGAAUCUUCCGCAAUGGGCGAAAGCCUGACGGAGCAACGCCGCGUGAGUGAUGAAGGUCUUCGGAUCGUAAAACUCUGUUAUUAGGGAAGAACAAAUGUGUAAGUAACUAUGCACGUCUUGACGGUACCUAAGCAGAAAGCCACGGCUAACUACGU